GACCUUUCGUCAACAAGUUAUGAUUAAGGAAUAAUGUCAAAAGUAUCAGUUAGACAGAUCAGGACUAGAAAGGAUGUUUCUAAGUUCUAUUUGCAGUAAGAGGUCCUUGUGAUUGUGUUUUGGAUAUGGUUCUACCAGCGUGGGGGUCAUGCAAGUUAUGGGGGUUUUAAGUUUAUCGCAGUAACGUGUCGGUUCGACAAUUGAUAAUCAGUGAUUUGUUCAACAUUAAGAUAAUGUCAAAAGUAUCAGUUAGACAGAUCAGGACUAGAAAGGAUGUUUCUAAGUUCUAUUUGCAGUAAGAGGUCCUUGUGAUUGUGUUUUGGAUAUGGUUCUACCAGCGUGGGGGUCAUGCAAGUUAUGGGGGUUUUAAGUUUAUCGCAGUAACGUGUCGGUUCGACAAUUGAUAAUCAGUGAUUUGUUCAACAUUAAGAGGUCUUGACCUGAUCAUCGGUUUCCAGGAAGGGGGUAAGGAGUGAU
rnacentral:lncRNA from 1 species